rnacentral:rRNA from 1 species
CCAUAGCUGGUUUGAGAGGAUGAUCAGCCACACUGGGACUGAGACACGGCCCAGACUCCUACGGGAGGCAGCAGUGGGGAAUCUUAGACAAUGGGCGCAAGCCUGAUCUAGCCAUGCCGCGUGAUCGAUGAAGGCCUCAGCGUUGUAAAGCUCUUUUGG